rnacentral:rRNA from 1 species
CAGUCGCCACGGGAAUACAGAGGGUGCAAGCGUUAAUCGGAAUUACUGGGCGUAAAGCGCGCGUAGGUGGUUUGUUAAGUUGGAUGUGAAAUCCCCGGGCUCAACCUGGGAACUGCAUCCAAAACUGGCAAGCUAGAGUAUGGUAGAGGGUGGUGGAAUUUCCUGUGUAGCGGUGAAAUGCGUAGAUAUAGGAAGGAACACCAGUGGCGAAGGCGACCACCUGGACUGAUACUGACACUGAGGUGCGAAAGCGUGGGGAGCAAACAGGAUUAGAUACCCCAGUAGUCCCUGUCUCUUAUAC